CUUUACUGUAGCUUUGUAUUGGACUUUGAACAGAUCUGUGUAGGAUAGGUGGGAGGCUUUGAAGCAGGGUCGCUAGAUCUUGUGGAGCCAACGUUGAAAUACCACCCUGGUGUGUUUGAGGUUCUAACCUAGACCCGUUAUCCGGGUCGGGGACAGUGCAUGGUAGGCAGUUUGACUGGGGCGGUCUCCUCCCAAAGCGUAACGGAGGAGUUCGAAGGUACGCUAGGUACGGUCGGACAUCGUGCUAAUAGUGCAAUGGCAUAAGCGUGCUUAACUGCGAGACUGACAAGUCGAGCAGAUGCGAAAGCAGGACAUAGUGAUCCGGUGGUUCUGUAUGGAAGGGCCAUCGCUCAACGGAUAAAAGGUA
rnacentral:rRNA from 1 species